rnacentral:rRNA from 1 species
AUUGAACGCUGGCGGCAGGCCUAACACAUGCAAGUCGAACGAGUGGCGGACGGGUGAGUAAUGUCUGGGAAAAUGCCUGAUGGCGGGGGAUAAAUACUGGAAACGGUAUCUAAUACCGCAUACCAUCCGAUGUUCCCAGAUGGUACUAGCUAGUUGGUGGGGUAACGUAGCACAAAGGCGACGAUCACUAGCUGGUCGGAGAGGAUGCCCAGCCACAGUGUAACUGAGACACGUUCCAGACUCCUACGGGAGGCAGAAGUGGGGAAUAUUGAACAAUGGGCGCAAGCCUGAUGCAGCCAGGCCGCGUGUAUGAAGAAGGCCUUCGGGUUGUAAAGUACUUUCAGCGGGGAGGCGUUACCCGCAGAAGAAGCACCGGCUAACUCCGUGCCAGCAGCCGCGGUAAUAC